UUAAUGACAUUGACAGGACAGUAUCCACUCAUUCAUUCGCUGAUUUUGCUCGCUCAUUCAAUCAAUCAUUCAUUCACUCAAUUCUUUUCGAAAUUCCGAGAAAAAAAUCUUGAUUCCGAAAUAUUCGGAAAUAAAAGCAAACAAAUAAUGGUCAUUUUACCGUAUUUACAUUGUUUACCGUAUAAACAAGAUGGUUUCUUAUUAUCACCAAAUGCAUCGUGACUGGUUGCUCGUCCACCAAGUCCAGGGUUUUUUCUCUAGCACGUGAUGAAGCAUUGCAGGCUCUAAGGAUACAGUACCUCCUCCUGCCUGCAAAUCCUUUAUCAGGAACUAUGACAAAGGAGCAACUUCGUCAAAGAAAGGUCUGCCAAUCACAUUUUGAGGAUAAAUAAAUCUAAAACAAUCUAUUGGUUAUGACAAUGAUGAAUGGAUGUCCUAUUUUUUAUUUAUCCAUGAAGAAAAUAAUAACAUCUCGGCGACCAUCCAAGCUGUUGCUGAUCAGGUCAUCCAGUAAGUUAAACUGCUAAUAGAGAUAACUUCAAUUCAAUGUUGUUGCCAGAUAAUGCUGUGAGUGAAGAAACUAUAUCCUGCCAUCUACAUCAGAGCCACAUCUGUCAUUAUGGAUAAUAUUAUUGCUGCGUCCUAAGGUAUCAUAAUAAUGUAUUUAAUUUAUUUAAAUUCCUACGGGAACGGGAGUAAGCGGGAAAAAACAUUUGUAUGAAAGAAUCUAAACCGCGUAAGAUAGAUCAACGCACAGCGUAAACGGCUAAACCUAGGCACUUGAAAUUUGGAAGGGACGUAGCUUAGGUACC